UGCAUGGUUGUCGUCAGCUCGUGUCGUGAGAUGUUGGGUUAAGUCCCGCAACGAGCGCAACCCUCGACCUUAGUUGCCAGCAUUCAGUUGGGCACUCUAAGGUGACUGCCGGACUAAAGUCGGAGGAAGUGGGAUGACGUCAAAUCAUCAUGCCCCUUAUGACCUGGGCUACACACGUGCUACAAUGGGCGGUACAAAGGGUCGCGAACCCGCGAGGGGGGAGCCAAUCCCAAAAAGCCGCUCUCAGUUCGGAUUGCAGGCUGCAACUCGCCUGCAUGAAGCCGGAAUCGCUAGUAAUCGCGGAUCAGCAUGCCGCGGUGAAUACGUUCCCGGGCCUU
rnacentral:rRNA from 1 species